CUAGACGCGUUUGAAGACUAAAAAUUUCGUUCGAAUGAUUAAGUUUCGUGGAAGAUGUAUAGUAAACAAUUUCACUCAGAGAAAAUUACUAAGAAUAACAAUGAUGCAAAGUACUGGCUGUACAGCAGAUGCGCGCGCAGCAAAGCUUCCACAGAAGUCCACGGGAAGCGCCACAAGCGUUACAAGCCUUGCAGUUGCACUGACUCUGCUAGGUUUACGGCCAUUUUAUUUUUGUGACGUGCGUUAAUUAUUGUUGACUGUUGUGAAGUUUGUUUUAUACUGGAAAAUAGUUCGGAAAGUGUGUGGCGCCCCCUGUCUUACUGCUACACCGGGUCUGAAGAAGAUAUAUAGUGUAUUACAGGAUCAUUAUACCAUCAGAAGUCAGCGAUAUUUGAUCCUGUUCUGGUCUGUGUGCUGGGGC